UACGUAGGGGGCAAGCGUUGUCCGGAUUUAUUGGGCGUAAAGAGCGUGUAGGCGGCCUGAAAGGUCAGCUGUGAAAACUCGAGGCUCAACCUCAGUUCGCGUGGGAAACCACCUAGCUAGAGUCCGGAAGAGGAGAACGGAAUUCCCAGUGUAGCGGUGAAAUGCGCAGAUAUUGGGAAGAACACCAGUGGCGAAGGCGGUUCUCUGGGACGGUACUGACGCUGAGACGCGAAAGCGUGGGGAGCGAACAGG
rnacentral:rRNA from 1 species